rnacentral:rRNA from 1 species
GACGAACGCUGGCGGCGUGCCUAAUACAUGCAAGUUGAGCGAUGAAGAUUGGUGCUUGCCCCAAUUUGAAGAGCAGCGAACGGGUGAGUAACGCGUGGGGAAUCUGCCUUUGGGCGGGGGACAACAUUUGGAAACGAGUGCUAAUACCGCAUAACAACUUUAAACAUAAGUUUUAAGUUUGAAAGAUGCAAUUGCAUCACUCAAAGAUGAUCCCGCGUUGUAUUAGCUAGUUGGUGAGGUAAAGGCUCACCAAGGCGAUGAUACAUAGCCGACCUGAGAGGGUGAUCGGCCACAUUGGGACUGAGACACGGCCCAAACUCCUACGGGAGGCAGCAGUAGGGAAUCUUCGGCAAUGGACGAAAGUCUGACCGAGCAACGCCGCGUGAGUGAAGAAGGUUUUCGGAUCGUAAAACUCUGUUGGUAGAGAAGAACGUUGGUGAGAGUGGAAAGCUCAUCAAGUGACGGUAACUACCCAGAAAGGGACGGCUAACUACGUG